rnacentral:pre_miRNA from 1 species
ACAACAUUCGUACUGUCAGUCUACCGAGCAAUUACAGCCACUCGGUGAAAGAUCUUCUCUUUGUCAA